AACACAGUAUGUAAUACCAGGGUCGGCCCAACCUUGGCCCAAUGUUGUAAUCAUGGCCAAACAUUGGACAAGCUUACGCCAGGGUACAGCCAAGAUUUGUACAUGCUUGCAUCCCUUGAUACCUUGAUAUUUAACCGUUUUUACCUUGGCUGCCAAGAUUACACUGAUUUAUGGAUUCACUGCAGAAAUUUUAGUUAAAUAUGCUUGUUAAACUUAAUAUAUGUUAACUAAAAUUAAUUUAUCUUUUAAUAUCAUGCUCUAAUGUAAACAUAGCAUCAAUAACAGACUACGUUGCAUGUGUUAAACAUUUUGUUAAUCUUUUUAAAAUUGUGUGCGCUACUGCCACCGGCCCCCUGUCGCCCAUUGUCCCUUUAUUCACAUUCCUUCCUAUUGUUCGCAAGCCAGCAUCCCGGUCCUGCGCCAUUUUUCUUAACAAAAGACUUUGUAUCCAGUCACAGUAAAACAGCUCCCUAUGGGAGAAUAAGAUGUCAUCAUCAUCACUCCUUUGUGGCCCCUGGGGAGCAAAGGGCUGCAACCACACAUCUCCAGCGGACUUGGUUUUGGGCUGCUCCUCUAAUCUGUGCCCAUGAGAGCCCAGCUGUUUUCGCUUCCUCCUCAACCGUUCUCUUCCAUGUUUUCCUUGGCCGGCCCACCCUCCUUUUUCCCUGGGGAUUCCAGUCUAAUGCAUGUUUUGAUGAAUAAGAUGCCUCCAGGUGUUGUGUAUAUCAAUCAGCCCACUUGAGAUAUAUUAAUCUUUUAAUAAAUUAUAAGGUCCCCACUGCUUGAUACUUCACCAAAUACUGGCUACACCAGAAGAUGACUAAAUGUUCUUAACACUUAACAACUACCACAAGCAUUACUUCUGGGUCACUCUGAAGGGUCUAAUCGUUCAAUUACUGAAUUAAUAAAGUUGAUGAAAUUGCUCAAAAAUUGUCUGGCACCUUCUUAACUCAGAGACAUAGGAAUGUGGAUGGAUUAUGACAUACCUUGCACAAAUCAACAACCAGGCUUUUAUUGGAUUUGAAUCCCAAAGGAAAGAGAAAGUUUGUUAUCCAAAACAAACAUGGAAAAUAUCAGAAACCAACAAAACACAAGCAGGCAGAGUGUUAUGGACACAACUUUGGGGAAUCUCCUAAAACCAAGUAUAAAAAUAGAGAGGUGUGGUUGUGUCUCUCAGCUCCACAAGGGUCCACAAGAAUGAGGACAACAUUGAUUUUUGUAAUAAUUUUAGAUCAGAUUUAAAAAAAAAAAUUGAUCAGAUGGAUCAGGUUAACAGUUUUAUACAUAUUGCAUUUAAGUGCUUAACGAAAAGAAAAGAUGCUCUUACCAAAAUAGUCUAAGAACAAUGCUGAUUUUAAAUUAAUAAAUUGUUUCCUUUUGUAAUAAUAUAAUAAUUUAAGUUGGCAUUGUAUGUAUGUUUAGUGUAGAUUUAAUGCCCUAAAUGAAAUAUACAAUUGACAUUUUUUUCUUUAAAGAAUUAGUUGCAAAUUUCUUUCAUUAUUUAGUUUCACUGUACAAUCUGAAAAAAGCUUGCAACAUUUGUAUUGACAAUACUUCUGCUGGUGAUAUUUAUUUCUAAUUAAUGAAGUAAAUUAAUAUAUAUUCAGUUUACUAUAAUUAAAUACCUCAUACUCGAGACAAAAAAACAUUUAUUGAAUAUCGCAGUGAUAUUCCUGUUCUACACAAUGCGUAUAAACCCUCGAACCAUCUGUCUUUUGAAAGAUUGUACAUUUUGUAUACGCAAUGGCAUUCAUUUCAACACUAUUUAACCACAAUUAUAAUCUAGAGAUCCUGAACAUAUUUUCGUUCUGUUAUUUAUGGACAAGGCAGACUGGUCCAGCAUUAAAAUGUAAACCUUAAUUAGAAUACUUAAACGAGCUAUGCAAUUAAAUGUUGUUAGACAAAUAUUUUAUACUUUUUAUUUUUAAUGUUAUGUUUACGUAUCAUAGUACAAGACAGCUUCUGUAUUCUUGUACAGUAAAUUAAGUUUUUACAUUAGUUUAAUUUAAACUGUAGGCCUGCUUAACAUCUGUUACAUUAUAUGAAAAUGUUUUGUAUAUUUGUUUUAAUUUGUUUGUAUAAAAGUCAAAAUGAAAGUUACUACACUAUUAUUUACAUAUUCUUUUUCAAUCAAUACUUUAUAGUAUAGUUAUAAUUUUCUUACAAUUGAAUGGAUGGUAUAAUACAGAUUUUAAUAGAUGAGCAGUUCUUGUGUAUGUAUUGCUGCUUUACUACAUUUUGAUUAAAAUUUCUUUCAC